CGGAAGUUACCCAAGCGGUUAUGGGGCUGUUCUUAUAAAGCAGUUGCGGUAUGUUCGACUCAUACACUUCCGACCA
rnacentral:tRNA from 1 species